rnacentral:ncRNA from 1 species
UAUCUUCGGGGCAGGGUGCAAUUCCCGACCGGCGGUGAUAGUCCGCGAGUACACCAUGGUGUGCAGGAGUAGGUGAAAUUCCUACGCCGACCGUAUAGUCUGGAUGGGAGAAGAA